CACGUAGGAGGCGAACGUUAUCCGGAUUUACUGGGCGUAAAGCGCGUGUAGGUGGUUCUGUAAGUAGGGCGUGAAAGCUCCUGGCUCAACUGGGAGAGGCCGUUCUAAACUACAGAACUAGAGGAUGGUAGAGGGAGGUGGAAUUCCAGGUGUAGCGGUGGAAUGCGCAGAUAUCUGGAGGAACACCAGUGGCGAAGGCGGCCUCCUGGACCAUUCCUGACACUCAGACGCGAAAGCUAGGGUAGCAAACGGGAUUAGAGACCCCGGUAGUCCUAGCCCUAAACGAUGUAGACUAGGCGUCGGAAGUUUAAUCACUUUCGGUGUCCAAGCUAACGCGAUAAGUCUACCGCCUGGGGACUACGGCCGCAAGGUUAAA
rnacentral:rRNA from 1 species